AGAGUUUGAUCAUGGCUCAGGAUGAACGCUGGCGGCGUGCCUAAUACAUGCAAGUCGAGCGAACAGACAAGGAGCUUGCUCCUUUGACGUUAGCGGCGGACGGGUGAGUAACACGUGGGUAACCUACCUAUAAGACUGGGAUAACUUCGGGAAACCGGAGCUAAUACCGGAUAAUAUUUCGAACCGCAUGGUUCGAUAGUGAAAGAUGGUUUUGCUAUCACUUAUAGAUGGACCCGCGCCGUAUUAGCUAGUUGGUAAGGUAACGGCUUACCAAGGCGACGAUACGUAGCCGACCUGAGAGGGUGAUCGGCCACACUGGAACUGAGACACGGUCCAGACUCCUACGGGAGGCAGCAGUAGGGAAUCUUCCGCAAUGGGCGAAAGCCUGACGGAGCAACGCCGCGUGAGUGAUGAAGGUCUUCGGAUCGUAAAACUCUGUUAUUAGGGAAGAACAUACGUGUAAGUAACUGUGCACGUCUUGACGGUACCUAAUCAGAAAGCUACGGCUAACUACGUGCCAGCAGCCGCGGUAAUACGUAGGUGGCAAGCGUUAUCCGGAAUUAUUGGGCGUAAAGCGCGCGUAGGCGGUUUUUUAAGUCUGAUGUGAAAGCCCACGGCUCAACCGUGGAGGGUCAUUGGAAACUGGAAAACUUGAGUGCAGAAGAGGAAAGUGGAAUUCCAUGUGUAGCGGUGAAAUGCGCAGAGAUAUGGAGGAACACCAGUGGCGAAGGCGACUUUCUGGUCUGUAACUGACGCUGAUGUGCGAAAGCGUGGGGAUCAAACAGGAUUAGAUACCCUGGUAGUCC
rnacentral:rRNA from 1 species